UGUACGGUACAGCCCUAUAGUGCAGCAGCCUGAGAACACUCAUUCGCUCCACUUUUCCUCUUGCUUAGGCCCCUAUAUGUGGAGCCAUCUGGACGCGGAGAGGAGGGAGUCAGCUGCUGCACACACAUAAGGCGCCGAGCCUGAAUCCGUCUCAGCUCAUUCUCUGGGAUCAUCUGCGUGGUGGGCUUACACCGUGGAAAAUGCGCUCUCCAUCAUUAGCAUUCAAGAAAUCUUUAACUCAGCUUCUGGUCCCUUUGAAAGGCGAUGUCCUCACUUUCUUUACAGUGAUGCUGUCCCAGCAGUAAUUCUCAAGUUACUCCAAUCAAAAUGCACAUUUCCAACAUGUUGCAUCAGUGCCUCUAAUUCAUUCAGGGAUUGUCAGUUGGGGAUGAGAAGUAAUGCAGUACAAUUUAUCACCACUCUGCAACUGAAAUUUGAUUGUAGUCACACAUCUUUAUUAAUAUCGAACUGUGUUACUAUUAACAGAAAUGUUAAUUAUGAUGUCAAGACAGAGGGAGUCAAGGUGAAAGCUGCACAGCAAUAGCUAAAAAUAAUCCAUGCCAGCUAUAGUACAGUGUGAUCCUGCAGAGGAGUGUUACUGGCAAGGGACCUUUUUGCUGCAACAAAGAGGUGGAAAAGAGGAAGUAAAUGAAUUAGAGUACAAGCCAGAUUUUGUCUUUGUUUCAUCCACACUUGUCCUGUCCCUGUUUUCCAACCUCUCCCUUUUCCUUGCUAUUGGAAGUGCUGCAAAUUGUAUAAUGCUGCUCUUUGUUCUGCGGAGUGGAGCCACAUGAAUAGCCGUCCUGAGUGCACACAAAAACACACUGACAAACUGAUCAUCUUAAAAAAGCAACGCCCUGGUGCUCACUUGGCCUACUUUCCACGGCAGCGCUGGGACGUGGGAAGAGGAAUAGAAUUCAGGGGAGGAUGUUCUUGCACUCUGGGAAACAUUCAGUAUAGCAAGUGUGAUGCACAUAAACAUAGCCCUUGCAUUGUCAACCUUAGACCGCAUUUGCCCCAGAUAACUAGUCCCCAUGUGCUAGACUAUUCUCUUUGACUUUGCAAUUGAAAUCCUGAGAAGAUUAUGCCGAAGCUAAAAGAGGCAAACUCCAGGGUGGGAUUUCAAUUGUCAAUUCCUGUUGGAUUUUAUAGCAUUAUGACAUAUAGUACACCAUCUGUUCACACUUCCUGUGAGCACAGGUCUGCAUCUGCACAAGUGGAGUCUAUUAAUGGGAACAUCAGCUAAAACCUGGUGUGGAAUGGACAGCCAUGUUCAGCCUAAUAUUUUUCAUCAAACAAGUCUUUUUUAACACAGAUGUAUGGCUAAGCACAGAUGUCUCCUAGGUAAGAAAACAGCAGAGUAAAUUAAGAAGGUUCAGGAAAGUAACCACUCCUAACUUUAGCUAAACAGACUUCCUGGAGCGCUAGAUAAUCUGGGGCUUCUAUGUACACCGCCUAACCAAAUGUCGACAUCUGUGAGGGUGUGCAUAAAGAAAAGCUCCUCUGAGAAACGGGGGGAUAAUAAUCUUAGUUCCCCUCACCUUCAGCUUGCCCAUAGGGGUUUAAAAAGGGAGAUGAAGAAAUCCUAUGUAAACAUGCCAAGUCAAAUUUUCACUUGAAAUGUGACAUGAAGGCAAAGGGCAACCUUGGCGCAUCACUAAUGUGGUUCCACACAUGAGCGUUGCCUGCCCCUGGAUGUAAGCAAUUGAUGUAUUCACUACAUGGUUUGACGACUGACUCACUGUUCACACUUAGCAUGUUUGAGCGUCUUUUUUAUCCACGGCUGCAUGUUUAGUGCACAUAGGUGACGAGCCUGAAAAAGUCAACACAAAGCUUGUACACGAUCAGGAACUCUGUACUCGAUAGCGCCAUGAAAGUGAGUUUUGCUCUCUUGAGAAACACACAAAGUUUGAGCAUCUGUUCUAUCAUGUAGUCUUUGUUGAGAAAUUAAAUAUUGAACUGAUCUUGUGUACCAUGAAUGUUUCACUCACAUAGUGAUUAGACAAACUGGAGAAGGCAAGACACCACCGCACUUUACGGUCUAAUUCAAAACAUUUGUUUGGUCUUGCCUUUAAGUGUUUCGUUCACCAGAUUGUGUUCUUGUCAGGGUGUUUUUUUUUUUUAUUUAUUCAUGUAUAACUCAACACCAAAGAAAAUGUAUAUGCAUAUUGUGUGUGCACAAAAAAAGUCAACAAUGUAAGAAUUAUUGUGUGGUGUAAUCCAGCAGAU